rnacentral:rRNA from 1 species
UACAGAGGGGGCAAGCGUUAUUCGGAAUUAUUGGGCGUAAAGGGCGCGUAGGCGGCUAUUCAAGUGGCGGGUGAAAUCCCUCGGCUUAACCGGGGAACUGCGUCUGAUACUGGAUGGCUUGAGUUCGGGAGAGGGAUGCGGAAUUCCAGGUGUAGCGGUGAAAUGCGUAGAUAUCUGGAGGAACACCGGUGGCGAAGGCGGCAUCCUGGACCGACACUGACACUGAGGAGCGAAAGCCAGGGGAGCAAACGGG